rnacentral:lncRNA from 10 species
GCGUUUACAAUCCUUUAGCUAGACAGAAAAGUUAUCCAAGUCCCCACUCGAACCAGAAAGUCCAGCUGGCUUCACCUCUCAAUAGCCUGCCCAUCAGCUGUUCUGUUGCCCUGUAGCCUGCUCCAGAUUAUCAGUGAAAUCACCGCAGCCAGAGACCCUUUCUAGAGUCCAGAAACCUGGUCUGCUUCUCUGGGCUAAGCCUCCUUCUGAAGACACCGGAGGAAAAUCCCUAGCUUUGGCUUUUCCAGCGUCAAGAGCAGCCUUGCAUUCCUGUUCCGGAGCAGAAUUAGAACAAUUUGAUUCUGAAUACAUUUAAGAAUUAAAAAAAAACAAAAUAAUUUAAGGAAGCAGAUUUAAGUCAUAUCUCAGCCAAGAACACAGAGCUAGUAAGUGGCAGAUCCAGGACCAUGCCAGGAAGUGUGAUUUCAGGAUACAAGCUCUUAAGCAUUACAUUAGGCCGCCUCUCUUACGGAAUCAUCCAGUGUUCAAUCUCAAAAUACUUACUGGUGUUAAAACACAUCCUUCCUUCCAAUGCAUCCUCUUUAUCUUCACAGCCGCCCCUUUUAUGGAAUCAUCCAGCGUCCAAUCUCAAAAUACAUAUUGGUGUUAA